GGUUGGAUCCGAACUGGGAGGUAGGGAAGUGGAGCUGGAAACCAUGAGGUACAAGAUGGAGGCGCAGGCAAGUCACGAGAAAGCAAACGUGGCUGUGGUAACGGGUCUGGGUUAAGAUGUGGUCGUAGAGUUGGAGGGAAGGGGGAAUCACAGGGGGGGGGGGGGGGGCAGUGAGAGAGGCGCAUUUCAAGAAAAUUCAUUU